rnacentral:rRNA from 1 species
CCUACGGGAGGCAGCAGUGGGGAAUAUUGGGCAAUGGGCGCAAGCCUGACCCAGCAACGCCGCGUGAAGGAAGAAGGCUUUCAGGUUGUAAACUUCCUUUAAGAGGGAAGAGCAGAAGACGGUACCUCAGGCAUAAGCCACGGCUAACUACGUGCCAGCAGCCGCGGUAAUACGUAGGUGGCAAGCGUUAUCCGGAUUUAUUGGGUGUAAAGGGCGUGUAGGCGGGAAAGCAAGUCAGAUGUGAAACCUCAGGGCUCAACCCUGAGCCUGCAUUUGAAACUGUUUUUCUUGAGUGCUGGAGGGGCAAUCGGAAUUCCGGGUGUAGCGGUGAAAUGCGUAGAUAUACGGAGGAACACCAGUGGCGAAGGCGGAUUGCUGGACAGUAACUGACGCUGAGGCGCGAAAGCGUGGGGAGCAAACAGGAUUAGAUACCCGGGUAGUC